rnacentral:rRNA from 1 species
UACGAAGGGGGCUAGCGUUGUUCGGAAUUACUGGGCGUAGAGCGCGCGCAGGCGGCUAUCCAAGUCAGUGGUGAAAGCCCGGAGCUCAACUCCGGAACUGCCAUUGAAACUGUUUAGCUUGAGGACGAGAGAGGUGAGUGGAAUUCCCAGUGUAGAGGUGAAAUUCGUAGAUAUUGGGAAGAACACCGGUGGCGAAGGCGGCUCACUGGCUCGUAUCUGACGCUCAGGCGCGACAGCGUGGGGAUCAAACAGG